UCAUGGCCCUUACGGCCUGGGCGACACACGUGCUACAAUGCCCACUACAGAAGCGAGGCGACCUGGUGACGGGGAGCGAAUCGCAAGAAAGGUGGGCCGUAGUUCGGAUUGGGGGUCUGCAACCCGACCCCAUGAAGCCGGGAAUCGCUAGUAAUCGGCGGAUCAACCAUGCCGCGGUGAAAUACGUUCCCGGGCCUUGU
rnacentral:rRNA from 1 species